AUGGGACGAUGGCACCUGUUCAAUCAAGCUCCCUUUCAUCUGUCAUCAAGUUUCAAAAGUGAAGACUACUGUGAGGAUGAAGUUCAAGACUAGAGCUGACAUAACCAAUCCAGCUACUAACACCCAGAUCCUCCAACAGCUGGAUGCAGAGCUAAAAAGACAUGGAUGGACUGACUUCAAGCUGCGAUGGAAGAUUCAGCCCAAAAAGCAGGAGGAAGAGAAACUCACAGAACCUCCAUGCUUUUAAAGAGCCCCUAUUAUACUCCUUUUCAUCUUCAUAUGUGUACUCUUGUACUCUAUAGAAUAGGGUUUACCUGCUUUGAUGUUCAAACAACAUGUUAUGUUUCUCAUACUGCCCAUUGCUUCAGCGCCUCCUACUGAAACAGUCAGUUUGAGCUCUUGGCCCGCCUUCCUGAAAAGCCCCGUCUGGUCUGAUUGGUCAGCUGCCCCACUCUGUUGUGAUUGGUCAACCAAAUUCAA